rnacentral:rRNA from 1 species
GCGGGUACUCGAGUGGCGAACGGGUGAGUAACACGUGGGUGAUCUGCCUUGCACUUCGGGAUAAGCUUGGGAAACUGGGUCUAAUACCGGAUAGGACAGCUGUUUAGUGUCAGUUGUGGAAAGUUUUUUCGGUGCAAGAUGAGCUCGCGGCCUAUCAGCUUGUUGGUGGGGUAAUGGCCUACCAAGGCGUCGACGGGUAGCCGGCCUGAGAGGGUGUACGGCCACAUUGGGACUGAGAUACGGCCCAGACUCCUACGGGAGGCAGCAGUGGGGAAUAUUGCACAAUGGGCGGAAGCCUGAUGCAGCGACGCCGCGUGGGGGAUGAAGGCCUUCGGGUUGUAAACUCCUUUCGACAGGGACGAAGCGUAAGUGACGGUACCUGUAUAAGAAGCACCGGCUAACUACGUGCCAGCAGCCGCGGUAAUACGUAGGGUGCGAGCGUUGUCCGGAAUUACUGGGCGUAAAGAGCUCGUAGGUGGUUUGUCGCGUCGUCUGUGAAAUUCCGGGGCUUAACUCCGGGCGUGCAGGCGAUACGGGCUGACUUGAGUGCUGUAGGGGUAGACUGGAAUUCCUGGUGUAACGGUGAAAUGCGCAGAUAUCAGGAGGAACACCGAUGGCGAAGGCAGGUCUCUGGGCAGUAACUGACGCUGAGGAGCGAAAGCAUGGGUAGCGAACAGGAUUAGAUACCCUGGUAGUCCAUGCCGUAAACGGUGGGCGCUAGGUGUAGGGGGCUUCCACGUCUUCUGUGCCGUAGCUAAACGCAUUAAGCGCCCCGCCUGGGGAGUACGCCGCAAGGCUA